rnacentral:rRNA from 1 species
CCUACGGGCGGCAGCAGUGGGGAAUAUUGGACAAUGGGGGGGAACCCUGAUCCAGCCAUGCCGCGUGUGUGAAGAAGGCCCUCGGGUUGUAAAGCACUUUCAGUGAGGAAGAACGCCUGGUGGUUAAUACCCAUCAGGAAAGACAUCACUCACAGAAGAAGCACCGGCUAACUCCGUGCCAGCAGCCGCGGUAAUACGGAGGGUGCGAGCGUUAAUCGGAAUUACUGGGCGUAAAGCGCGCGUAGGUGGCUUGAUAAGCCGGUUGUGAAAGCCCCGGGCUCAACCUGGGAACAGCAUCCGGGACUGUCAAGCUAGAGUGCAGGAGAGGAAGGUAGAAUUCCCGGUGUAGCGGUGAAAUGCGUAGAGAUCGGGAGGAAUACCAGUGGCGAAGGCGGCCUUCUGGACUGACACUGACACUGAGGUGCGAAAGCGUGGGUAGCAAACAGGAUUAGAUACCCUGGUAGUC